UACGUAGGGUGCGAGCGUUGUCCGGAAUUAUUGGGCGUAAAGAGCUCGUAGGUGGUUCGGUAAGUCGGAUGUGAAAUCUCCAGGCUCAACCUGGAGGGGUCAUUCGAUACUGCCGUGACUAGAGGUCGGUAGGGGAGUGUGGAAUUCCUGGUGGAGCGGUGAAAUGCGCAGAUAUCAGGAGGAACACCGGUGGCGAAGGCGGGUCUCUGGGCCGAUACUGACGCUGAGGAGCGAAAGCGUGGGGAGCGAACAGG
rnacentral:rRNA from 1 species